CCACUACUCAACUUGAAGCUUAAUAAUAUUGUCUCUGGGUUACACUUAAUUUCAAGUUUCUUAAUGAUUGGGUAUCUAUUACUUGUAUAAUAGCUGUGGCUCAUUAAGCCACGCGUUAUUCUCUCAAUUAACCAGAAUAAAAAAAGAAGGAUCGGGGGUAUUGCAAACACGUUACAUUACAUUCUGCCUUCUAAUCUUCUCCCCUUGCCCGUGCGUUUCACUUCAACCCGUCCCUUCCUCUUUCUCCUUGAAAACCCAAAAUCCCAUUCUCUUCUUCGUUCUCUCCUCGAUGACCCACUCCAUUCUUGUGGUUGAUAUCAUCGCUGGCUAUUGACGCUUCCCGAGUAGUUUGAUACCCCAGUUUCUGAAGAACAUCUCUCUGAACCCCGAUUUGAAAACCCUAACCAACCGAGGUAUGCGGAUUAUUCAUCUGGGAGAAAGGUUCUGGCAUUGGCGACGGCGAUGGUGAGUUUCAGCCGGGGAGAUGCUCGCGAUGAUGGUUGACUACGAUCUCUGUUGUGGGCUUAAUAUGCUCAGGGAAGUGAACAGCUUUGGUGAUACAUGUUCGGUUGAGAUCUUAACCAUCGCCAUCCUCGUGCAGUUAUUCUGCUGAUCUCUUUGUUUGUCUGGUGCUGUAUGUUUAAAGUCGGUGAUUUAGGGUUUCCUUUGUGGGUUGGUGGUCUUUGAUUUGGGGUUUGGCCAAAGAAGGUUCAACUGUAACUCUCUGUCACCAUCCCUCGCUCUACUUGAAACCCUAAUGUUUCUUCGUUGUUGGAACCACAAAAAUGGAGGUAUUCACAAACAGAACCUGAUCGAAAGAGCUGAAACCAUAUCAAGCUGAGGAUUCUCAUAGCAGUGAGAGAUCCAAAAUCCUAUGAGUCACGCAAUCGAAUGUGCUCGAAGCCUACACCUGCCUCCGAAAAGUUGUGAAUGCGUUGAGUUGGUUUAUCAGGUUGGAAUAUGUGGAGAGCAUGGUAGGAGCCAUCUUCUAUUGCAUUCUUUGCUCAAAUUGGUCUUGACUAUGUCUCAUACUCUCCUUUUAGGUUAGAUUUUUAGCUUAAAUAUAAGUUAGAGUUUUAAAUGUUCAACUAUUAAACUCAAAUUUGAAUACUCUUGCAGGGUUCUAAUUGAAAGGCUUGCAUACACCUUAAGUUGUAGUUUAAGAAAUUUGUUAAUCUGGUGUAAGAGGGAUGAAUGACUAGCUUCUGGUUCUUUUACUACUCUGUUGUUACAGCUCCUUUCAGUCCUUAACUAUUUUGUUACAUUUUAGCUUUUAGUCCUUUCUGUUUUAUGUGAGCAUUUGUUGUGGAGCUUCUCUUCACUAUGUUUUUUGUAUUUUUUUAAGUGCUUCUAUUACUUUAUGGUUUUGGUUACAAAUUGAUGCUGAAAGCUUGCAAAGAAUUUGGCCUAAUUUUACUAUAUUCAAGUAUUGUUAGUUAGGUUGGGUCAGAUAAUUAGUGAUACUCUGGAUUCUAUUUUCUCAAAUAAUAUUCUGGCUUUAUUUACAAAAUGCAAAUUUAAAUUUGGCUUUAUUAACAAACUUACAGUGGUUUCUUUUUAUUUGGUCAAUUUAGACUUCAACUCUAAAUCUGAUAACUUAUUCUUCAUUCAUAUGUGUCUAUAUUUUGGGUUGUUGUCUACGCUGCUAUGAGCUUCAAUUUAGAUCUUUCUUUGUGGUUUCUAAUUGAAAUGAUUGGUUGUUAUUCUUGGUCUAAUAUAAGAUAAGGUUAUCAACACUCAUAGGUAGGAAGCUUAUUGGGAGGCUCCUCAAAAUCUUUUCUUACCAUGUUAGUUGGAGAUGAUCUCUUGAUGUCUAAUGCAAAACGCUUUAAGAGAGCAGUACUAGAGUAUGCAUGUAAUGUUCUUUUUCUUAAGGAAACAUAAUUUCUGCCUUCCUGUCCUUGUCCCCAGUAGAGAUCCAAAAUACUGUGAAUCAUGUAAUCCAAUGUGCUCGAAGCCUACACCAACCUUCAAAAGUUACCUGUUCUUCAAUUAUGCAGUAGUUUUUGGGUUCAGAGAUAAAAUACUUUUGGCAGGCAGCAUGAUUCGGUUAGAGACGAGUGAAUAAAUACAGUGGCAUACGGGGAGAAAAUUGAUAGGAUUGCUAACUUACUGAUUUUCAGUUGUGGAGCAGCUCUUGGCUUUGGAGAAAAGGCUUUUUGGACAAGUUAAGUUAUACUACUACUUGCUUAUUUUUAUAUGAAAUUUAAGGCAUCAAAUAUUUAUAUUUGGGUGUCUCGUGUGCUAUUUGGUGAUGUUUGUGUGUUGUCAGGUUUGUUGGGAAUAAGAU